rnacentral:rRNA from 1 species
CCUACGGGUGGCAGCAGUGAGGAAUAUUGGUCAAUGGACGGAAGUCUGAACCAGCCAUGCCGCGUGCAGGAAGACGGCUCUAUGAGUUGUAAACUGCUUUUGUACAAGGGUAAACCUGAAUACGUGUAUUCAGCUGAAAGUACUGUACGAAUAAGGAUCGGCUAACUCCGUGCCAGCAGCCGCGGUAAUACGGAAGAUCCAAGCGUUAUACGGAUUUAGUGGGUGUAAAGGGUGCGUCGGCGGAUUGAUAAGUUAGGUGUGAAAUGUCCGGGCUUAACUCGGGAACUGCCUCUAAUACUGUUGAUCUAGAGAGUAGAUGCGGUAGGCGGAAUGUAUGGUGUAGCGGUGAAAUGCUUAGAGAUCAUACAGAACACCGAUUGCGAAGGCAGCGUACCAAUCUAUAUCUGACGUUGAGGCACGAAAGCGUGGGGAGCAAACAGGAUUAGAUACCCGUGUAGUC